CGGCGGACGGGUGAGUAACACGUGGAUAACCUACCUAUAAGACUGGGAUAACUUCGGGAAACCGGAGCUAAUACCGGAUAAUAUAUUGAACCGCAUGGUUCAAUAGUGAAAGACGGUUUUGCUGUCACUUAUAGAUGGAUCCGCGCCGCAUUAGCUAGUUGGUAAGGUAACGGCUUACCAAGGCAGCGAUGCGUAGCCGACCUGAGGGGGUGAUCGGCCACACUGGAACUGAGACACGGUCCAGACUCCUACGGGAGGCAGCAGGC
rnacentral:rRNA from 1 species